UACGGAGGGUGCAAGCGUUGUUCGGAAUUACUGGGCGUAAAGCGCACGUAGGCGGGUUCGCAAGUCGAUUGUGAAAUCCCCGGGCUCAAUCCGGGAAUUGCAGUCGAAACUGCGAGUCUUGAAUACCUGAGAGGGUGACGGAAUUCCUGGUGUAGAAGUGAAAUUCGUAGAUAUCAGGAGGAACACCGGAGGCGAAGGCGGUUGCCUGGCAGUGUAUUGACGCUGAGGUGCGAAAGCGUGGGGAGCAAACAGG
rnacentral:rRNA from 1 species